GCUCAUUCUAAAGGCAUGCUGGAGAUUUCAGAAAGACAUGAAAUGAAUUAUCAUAAAUCCAAAUACUGCCAAACUGUCAUGGAGUAGAAAUAUCAGUGGACUUCCAGUGCUUACAGAAUUUUAAUGAUAGCCACUGAAGACAUGUCAUCCGUGGUCAACAGUAGCCCAGCAGAUGAUCCUCCUGACUUACUGUCAGAAGGCCACCAGAAGCCUAACACUGUGUCACAAUGCCCACAUCAUUUACCUCAUGUCAGCUGAUCACAUAGGCAUGUUAUCUCACAGCAUCACAAGGAAGGCGCACGCUUCUCCCUAAAGCAUCCUUCCGGACCCCUGUCGGGUGACGCCGCGGGCACCUGCAAAUUAAGUCGGCGGCGAGUGGUCGCCCGGGGCAACCCGAGGGGCCUGGAAGGGAAGACGUCCCCAUGGAAACGGGCCCAGAGGACCGCGACGAGCGGCUCCCGGGGGCUUCCGAACCCCAGCAACCUCGGGCAGCGGGACAGCUCUCGGGGGGCCGGAGGCGAGGCUGGGAAGUGGCUCGACAAGAAAAGCACACCUAGGGCUUCGUCUCCGCGCGGCGCAGGUCACACACACCCCGGGGCAAGGUCACCGAGAAGCCCUCCGACCGGGGGCCCGGGGGCGGACUCCGCUCCCCCGCGGCCAAGCCCCGCGGACCCCGUCCCCGAGAAGAGGCCCCGGCAUCACACACCCAGCUGGGCCCCGAACCGAAGAGCCCCCGACCCACAGGCCCGUUACUCCGCUGCCCAGAAGACGGGCGACCCCGACCACUCACCCCGCAGCCGCUGCGUGCUGUGAAGCCAUCUCCAACUGGCCCCGCGGCCGAGAGGCCACCCAGAAGCGCCCCUCGCCAGCGCCAGUCUCCGGCAUCCGCCGAAGCCCAGGAGGUAGCGCAGCCCCCGAGGGUCACAGCCCAGCCUCCAGGAGGCCGCCAUCUUCCCGGCCGCGUCGCGGGCUGCCCGCCGCGGAGCCUGAUCGCCCAGUCGUCAAGGCCCUCCCAGGCCCCGCCCCCUGUCAUGUUGGCCACGCCCCCGGGCUCCGGCGGUGCCUGCAGAGGCGCGAGGCCCCCCUU